CAUGUCACUCGCUCCUUCUCUCCCCCAGCUGCUCCACCGCUUUCACAAAACUAUUUGAUUUUGUCCCUAAUAGCUCUCACUCCAAACAGUUUAUAUCACCAGUCCUGGGGAAAAGAAAGCAAAGCAAAGCAAAAGCGAGAGAGAAACAAAAUAGAAAGCGAAGAGACGACGACCAUGUUCCCGUCGCCAGGGAGGGCGGUGAUGGCGCUGGGCCACGGUGGCCAGCACAUGACCGCGUCGUCCACCGCCGGCGGCAUGGCGGCAUCCUCGUCGUCCACCCCCACCAUAACGUUCGCGUUCCAGCAGCCGUCCCCUCCCCCUCCUCCGACGGCGACGAGCUCCCUCGCCCUCGCCCACCCCCACCACCAUGGCGUGCUAGGUUACGGCUCCGCCUGCCUUCUCCUGGACCACCACCACCCAACCACCGCCACCUCCUCGGCCUCUCCCUCGCACGCGGCUCCGUCCAGCGUCGUCCCGGCCCCCACCCUCCACCACCACUUCCAUGGCCAUGCAGCAGGAGCGCCGCACGUUUCCCUUUCCCCUCCCACGAGGGCGUCGCCUCCUCCUCAUCAUCCAUGGUCGACGGCGGCGGCCUGCGAAGAAGAGCCGGAGCCGCAUCACGAUCAUCGCCAACAAGCAGGCCAAGGCGGCAGACCGCCGAGGGGGAAGGGAGCGGCGGUGAGCGAGGGGUCGGCGGCGGCGCUGGGAGUGGGCGCCGUGCGGAUGAAGAAAGCGGGCGGCGGAGGAGGAGGCAAGGCGCGGCGGAAGGUGCGCGAGCCGCGGUUCUGCUUCAAGACGAUGAGCGACGUCGACGUGCUCGACGACGGCUACAAGUGGCGCAAGUACGGCCAGAAGGUCGUCAAGAACACGCAGCACCCAAGGAGCUACUACCGGUGCACGCAGGACAACUGCCGGGUGAAGAAGCGGGUGGAGCGGCUCGCCGAGGACCCCCGCAUGGUCAUCACCACCUACGAGGGCCGCCACGUCCACUCCCCGUCCCGCGACGAAGACGACGACGCCGCGCGCGCCAACGCCGAGAUGAGCUUCAUCUGGUAGCCUGCAGAUCCGGCUCCGACGACCGGCGGCCAUCUCUAUUCUCUCAGUGCAUACAACGUCGGCCGCCUCCGGUCUAAGUUUCGCCAGCAGCCGCCGCCACCACCAGCAGCAGCAGCUGAAUAUCCUGAAUUUAGCUAUUAUAUCCAUCCAUGCAUCGAAGAACUCUCAUCGAUCGUGUGUGCAUGUGGCAUGUCUAGGCAUUAUGUUAUUGCUAUGUCAAUCGAUCUUUAUAUAUAUACGCGAAUGAUGUCCGUCGCUGCAGGUACGUAGGGUGUGAACUGCAUGGUCCUCCUAGCUACUGUCGACCUGUCGUAGUUAAUUAGCUAAUAAUAUAGUAGUGCAUCCAGGUUAUGGACUAAAUAAUACUUAUAUACAUAGCAGCUACCUGAAACGUGUUCUAGAAUUACCAAUGUUUAUUGCACUUCUUUCCUUUGCUACUUUAAAUUUAUAAGGUUGAUAAGUUUGUUGGUGAUAUAUAUGAUGCUGCUUGGUUGUUCUU
rnacentral:misc_RNA from 1 species